rnacentral:rRNA from 1 species
CAGCCGCCGCGGUAAUACCGGCGGCCCGAGUGGCGGCCACUAUUAUUGGUCUUAAAGCGUCCGUAGCCGGGUUGGUUAGUCUCCCGGGAAAUCUGGCCGCUUAACGGUCAGAAUUCCGGGAGAUACUGCCAGCCUAGGGACCGGGAGAGGCCGAGGGUAUUCCCGGAGUAGGGGUGAAAUCCUAUAAUCCCGGGAGGACCACCUGUGGCGAAGGCGCUCGGCUGGAACGGGUCCGACGGUGAGGGACGAAGGCCAGGGGAGCAAACCGGAUUAGAUACCCGGGUAGUCCUGGCUGUAAACGAUGCGGACUUUGUGUCGGACAAGCUAUGAGCUUGUCCGGUGCCGGAGGGAAACCGUUAAGUCCGCCGCCUGGGGAGUACGGCCGCAAGGCUGAAACUUAAAGGAAUUGGCGGG